UACGUAGGGUGCGAGCGUUAAUCGGAAUUACUGGGCGUAAAGCGUGCGCAGGCGGUUUUGUAAGUCAGAUGUGAAAGCCCCGGGCUCAACCUGGGAACUGCGUUUGAAACUACAAGGCUAGAGUGUAGCAGAGGGGGGUAGAAUUCCACGUGUAGCAGUGAAAUGCGUAGAGAUGUGGAGGAAUACCAAUGGCGAAGGCAGCCCCCCUGGGUUAACACUGACGCUCAUGCCACGAAAGCGUGGGGAGCAAACAGG
rnacentral:rRNA from 1 species